rnacentral:rRNA from 1 species
AGUGAACGCUGGCGGCGUGCUUAACACAUGCAAGUCAAACGAGAACGGAAUAUAGCUUGCUAUAUUUGUCAGCUAAGUGGCGCACGGGUGAGUAAUGUAUAGAUAACCUGCCCUUAAGAAAGGAAUAACAGUUGGAAACGACUGCUAAUGCCCUAUAUGCCUUUAAUACAUAAGUAUGCAAGGGAAACGCUUUAGUGCUUAAGGAUGGGUCUGUAUGGUAUCAGCUUGUUGGUGAGGUAAUGGCUCACCAAGGCUAUGACGCCUAACUGGUUUGAGAGGAUGAUCAGUCACACUGGAACUGAGACACGGUCCAGACACCUACGGGAGGCAGCAGUGGGGAAUAUUGCACAAUGGACGAAAGUCUGAUGCAGCAACGCCGCGUGGAGGAUGACACAUUUCGGUGCGUAAACUCCUUUUAUAUAGGAAGAUAAUGACGGUACUAUAUGAAUAAGCACCGGCUAACUCCGUGCCAGCCGCCGCGGUAA